rnacentral:rRNA from 1 species
GCAGCCGCGGUAAUACGUAUGGAGCAAGCGUUAUCCGGAUUUACUGGGUGUAAAGGGUGCGUAGGUGGCGAGGCAAGUCAGAUGUGAAAUACCGGGGCUCAACCCCGGGGCUGCAUUUGAAACUGUCUUGCUGGAGUACAGGAGAGGCAGGCGGAAUUCCUAGUGUAGCGGUGAAAUGCGUAGAUAUUAGGAGGAACACCAGUGGCGAAGGCGGCCUGCUGGACUGUUACUGACACUGAGGCACGAAAGCGUGGGGAGCAAACAGGAUUAGAUACCCC